AACCGUUCAGGGGUAAACCUGAGAAACCCGAAAGAUCGAAUGGGGAGAUUCAUCGUCAGCGAUUUUGGUACGUGUGCGGUUCGCGAUGUCGGAGGCUUCGGUCUCAUGGCACGCGUCCGCAUGUUUUUUAUUGCCUGAAUCGUCGGCGUGCACUUCUCCCCUAGUAGGACGUCGCGACCCGUUGGGUGUCGGUCUACGGCCCGGGUGGUAGCCUGUUUCGUGUUCGCUUCACGGCGUUACGCGGGGCAGACCCCUGUGUGUCUGGCCGACUGCCCGGCGGUACUCGCACGGUAUCUGGCCGCAAAUAUUCGAACUGCGUCCGGCCCGUCGCAAGCGAGGCAAGUGUUUCCCGGCUGUACGGAUCUAAUGCCGUCACCGGGCCUUGCCAGCUGUUGGUUGACGGUGUCCUAGGACUGGCCAAUAAAAUUAUGAUACCGGUCGGCGACGCUACUGCUUUGGGUACUUUCAGGACCCGUCUUGAAACACGGACCAAGGAGUCUAACAUGUGCGCGAGUCAUUGGGAUCUAUUAAGCCUAAAGGCGCAAUGAAAGUGAAGGUCGGCCUUGCGCCGACCGAGGGAGGAUGGGCCGCGUCACGAUGCGGUCCCGCACUCCCGGGGCGUCUCGU
rnacentral:rRNA from 1 species